rnacentral:rRNA from 1 species
CACGGGAGACACACGGCGGGUGCUAACGUCCGUCGUGAAGAGGGAAACAACCCAGACCGCCAGCUAAGGUCCCAAAGUCAUGGUUAAGUGGGAAACGAUGUGGGAAGGCCCAGACAGCCAGGAUGUUGGCUUAGAAGCAGCCAUCAUUUAAAGAAAGCGUAAUAGCUCACUGGUCGAGUCGGCCUGCGCGGAAGAUGUAACGGGGCUAAACCAUGCACCGAAGCUGCGGCAGCGAACGUAUCACUUAAAGCGAUUCAGCGGGUUACGAUUGACGGAGCGAAGCGACGUCAAAGCGUAUACAAAGUCGAGUCGGUUUAAGGAUACGUUCGUUGGGUAGGGGAGCGUUCUGUAAGCCCGUGAAGGUGGCCUGUGAGGGUUGCUGGAGGUAUCAGAAGUGCGAAUGCUGACAUAAGUAACGAUAAAGCGGGUGAAAAGCCCGCUCGCCGGAAGACCAAGGGUUCCUGUCCAACGUUAAUCGGGGCAGGGUGAGUCGACCCCUAAGGCGAGGCCGAAAGGCGUAGUCGAUGGGAAACGGGUUAAUAUUCCCGUACUUGGUGUUACUGCGAAGGGGGGACGGAGAAGGCUAUGUUGGCCGGGCGACGGUUGUCCCGGUUUAAGCGUGUAGGUGUGUGUUCCAGGUAAAUCCGGUUCACUUUAACACUGAGGCGUGACGACGAGGCACUACGGUGCUGAAGCAACAAAUGCCCUGCUUCCAGGAAAAGCCUCUAAGCAUCAGGUAACAUCAAAUCGUACCCCAAACCGACACAGGUGGUCAGGUAGAGAAUACCAAGGCGCUUGAGAGAACUCGGGUGAAGGAACUAGGCAAAAUGGUGCCGUAACUUCGGGAGAAGGCACGCUGACACGUAGGUGAAGUGAUUUACUCAUGGAGCUGAAGUCAGUCGAAGAUACCAGCUGGCUGCAACUGUUUAUUAAAAACACAGCACUGUGCAAACACGAAAGUGGACGUAUACGGUGUGACGCCUGCCCGGUGCCGGAAGGUUAAUUGAUGGGGUCAGCGCAAGCGAAGCUCCUGAUCGAAGCCCCGGUAAACGGCGGCCGUAACUAUAACGGUCCUAAGGUAGCGAAAUUCCUUGUCGGGUAAGUUCCGACCUGCACGAAUGGCGUAAUGA